rnacentral:rRNA from 1 species
UGCAGUCGAGGGGUAUUAGUUUUCGGACUAAGAGACCGGCGCACGGGUGCGUAACGCGUAUGCAAUCUACCUUUUACAGAGGGAUAGCCCAGAGAAAUUUGGAUUAAUACCUCAUAGUAUAUAGACCUGGCAUCAGGAUUAUAUUAAAGUCACAACGGUAAAAGAUGAGCAUGCGUCCCAUUAGCUAGUUGGUAAGGUAACGGCUUACCAAGGCAACGAUGGGUAGGGGUCCUGAGAGGGAGAUCCCCCACACUGGUACUGAGACACGGACCAGACUCCUACGGGAGGCAGCAGUGAGGAAUAUUGGACAAUGGGCGCAAGCCUGAUCCAGCCAUGCCGCGUGCAGGAUGACGGUCCUAUGGAUUGUAAACUGCUUUUGUACGAGAAGAAACACUCCUUCGUGAAGGAGCUUGACGGUAUCGUAAGAAUAAGGAUCGGCUAACUCCGUGCCAGCAGCCGCGGUAAUACGGAGGAUCCAAGCGUUAUCCGGAAUCAUUGGGUUUAAAGGGUCCGUAGGCGGUUUAGUAAGUCAGUGGUGAAAGCCCAUCGCUCAACGGUGGAACGGCCAUUGAUACUGCUAAACUUGAAUUAUUAGGAAGUAACUAGAAUAUGUAGUGUAGCGGUGAAAUGCUUAGAGAUUACAUGGAAUACCAAUUGCGAAGGCAGGUUACUACUAAUGGAUUGACGCUGAUGGACGAAAGCGUGGGUAGCGAACAGGAUUAGAUACCCUGGUAGUCCACGCCGUAAACGAUGGAUACUAGCUGUUGGAAGCAAUUUCAGUGGCUAAGCGAAAGUGAUAAGUAUCCCACCUGGGGGAGUACGUUCGCAAGAAUGAAACUCAAAGGAAUUGACGGGGGGCCCGCACAAGCGGUGGAGCAUGUGGGUUUAAUUCGAUGA